UGCAGUCGAACGGUAACAGGAAAUAGCUUGCUAUUUUGCUGACGAGUGGCGCACGGGUGCGUAACGCGUAUACAAUCUACCUUUUGCUGAGGGAUAGCCCAGAGAAAUUUGGAUUAAUACCUCAUGGUAUUAUUGAUAGGCAUCUAUUAAUAAUUAAAGGUUACGGCAAAAGAUGAGUAUGCGUCCCAUUAGCUAGUUGGUGAAGUAACGGUUCACCAAGGCAACGAUGGGUAGGGGUCCUGAGAGGGAGAUCCCCCACACUGGUACUGAGACACGGACCAGACUCCUACGGGAGGCAGCAGUGAGGAAUAUUGGACAAUGGGCGAGAGCCUGAUCCAGCCAUGCCGCGUGCAGGAAGACUGCCCUAUGGGUUGUAAACUGCUUUUAUACAGGAAGAAUAAGCCUUACGUGUAAGGUGAUGACGGUACUGUAAGAAUAAGGACCGGCUAACUCCGUGCCAGCAGCCGCGGUAAUACGGAGGGUCCGAGCGUUAUCCGGAAUUAUUGGGUUUAAAGG
rnacentral:rRNA from 1 species